rnacentral:rRNA from 1 species
GACGAACGCUGGCGGCGUGCUUAACACAUGCAAGUCGUACGGAAAGGCCCUGCUUUUGUGGGGUGCUCGAGUGGCGAACGGGUGAGUAACCCGUGAGUAACCUGCCCUUGACUUUGGGAUAACUUCAGGAAACUGGGGCUAAUACCGGAUAGGAGCUCCUGCUGCAUGGUGGGGGUUGGAAAGUUUCGGCGGUUGGGGAUGGACUCGCGGCUUAUCAGCUUGUUGGUGGGGUAGUGGCUUACCAAGGCUUUGACGGGUAGCCGGCCUGAGAGGGUGACCGGCCACAUUGGGACUGAGAUACGGCCCAGACUCCUACGGGAGGCAGCAGUGGGGAAUAUUGCACAAUGGGCGGAAGCCUGAGGCAGCAACGCCGCGUGCGGGAUGACGGCCUUCGGGUUGUAAACCGCUUUCGCCUGUGACGAAGCGUGAGUGACGGUAAUGGGUAAAGAAGCACCGGCUAACUACGUG